rnacentral:rRNA from 1 species
AUUGCAGAAUUCAGUGAAUCAUUCGAAUCUUUGAACGCAUCUUGCGCUCCUUGGUAUUCCGAGGAGCAUGCCUGUUUGAGUGUCAUU